UACGAAGGGGGCUAGCGUUGCUCGGAAUCACUGGGCGUAAAGCGCACGUAGGCGGAUCUUUAAGUCAGGGGUGAAAUCCCAAGGCUCAACCUUGGAACUGCCUUUGAUACUGGGGAUCUCGAGUCCGGAAGAGGUUGGUGGAACUGCGAGUGUAGAGGUGAAAUUCGUAGAUAUUCGCAAGAACACCAGUGGCGAAGGCGGCCAACUGGUCCGGUACUGACGCUGAGGCGCGAAAGCGUGGGGAGCAAACAGG
rnacentral:rRNA from 1 species